rnacentral:rRNA from 1 species
ACGUAGGUCCAAAUGGCCCUGAAUGCGACUAAUGUCUACGGAUCUGGGAAGCUAGGUAGGUUUGAGCCUGGUUAUUACUUGGAUGGGAGACUGCCCGAGAAUGCCACAUUGUACGCU